UUUACUGAUAUUAAUUAUAUCAUAUUGAAUAAGUUAUAAUACUAACUAUUAUAUUAAUUUAAGUUUAACAUAUAAAAAGAAAAAUCUCUUAAGAGA
rnacentral:sRNA from 1 species